AACACAUGCAAGUCGAGCGGGAUUAUUUGGAAGCUUGCUUCUAGAUAUGAGAGCGGCGAACGGGUGAGGAACACGUUGGAAUCUGCCCCCAAGUCAGGGAUAGCGAGAAGAAAUUCUCAUUAAUACCGGAUAGUCUCUUUGGAGUAAAAAUUUAUUGCUUGGGGAAGAGCCUGCGUUCUAUCAGCUAGUUGGUGAGAUAAAAGCUCACCAAGGCUAUGACGGAUAACUGGUCUGAGAGGAUGAUCAGUCACAAUGGAACUGAGACACGGUCCAUACUCCUACGGGAGGCAGCAGUGGGGAAUAUUGGACAAUGGGCGCAAGCCUGAUCCAGCCAUGCCGCGUGAGUGAUGAAGGCCUUAGGGUUGUAAAGCUCUUUCGCCGGUGAAGAUAAUGACGGUAACCGGAGAAGAAGCCCCGGCUAACUUCGUGCCAGCCGCCGCCGUAA
rnacentral:rRNA from 1 species